GUUGGACUUGAUGAUCUGUUGAGGUCCCUUCCAACCCUAGCAUCUAUGAAUCUACUACUGGUACACAACAUAGGUAACUUAAAGGGAGGUCAAGUACCUCUGCCCUAAACUGCAGUCUACAGUGUAGAUCAUAUACUAUGUCCAUUCCCAUCACUGAAGUUCAACUUAUUAAUGCACACUCUACAUGAAGUCGUAAAUGUUUUGCACAUCUGGUCCAUCAAAGUUUGCCCCUUCUUCCCCCCCGGUUUGCUACUGGCAAUGGGUACAUCAAGCCCAAAUUUCAGUCUGCAAAAUACACUAGCCUGGAGUGCACACUGGUUUUCACGGGACAAGCAAGAGUCGUUUUGGGUCUUUUCUUCCCUCACUCCCUUAGAGCAAUGUAUUUUUAUGCCACCAUUAUUUAGUUCCUGCCCUGCAGCUCUCUUUCUUAAAACUUUGAUUUUACUUUAUGCUUAUGGGGAUUGAGCCUGCUCCCACUUACGUGAAUAGCAAAACACCCACUGAUUCCAGUGGAGCAGGACUAGCCCGUAGUGGGAUUCCAUCAUCAUGGCAGUAACAGAAAGUCAAUGAAUUUUUAAAACACUGAGGUGCUGCAUAGAGACAAAAUAUAAGCAAUCACAUGAAUCUUGCAGUCCUCAGUGAAGAUCAAAGAUGUCUGCAUAACUUGCUUUUCCCAUUAGUUUUAUUUUCACAUGGCUUUGCUUCUUCAGGUUCCAGGCACGACUAAAAGCUGUAGUGCCAAAAUACCAUGAGAAAGGCUGCUCCUGCAAAAUUUCUGGCUUUACCAGAAGGAGGAAAAUCUCAUGAAAGAAUCUGCUUGUGUUUUCUUUCCAGCCCUGCUUGGCAAGAUCAAUGUGAGGAUAGUGCAUUUCAAAAGUAACUCCUACAAGGAUAUGGCAGCAUCAGUCCUUCAACCUCCAGCAAUGCAACAUAAUAUCAAGAAGCACCACCAAAGACAAGUCAUCCACCCAAGAAUGAUGUACAGACUGUACACACCCCAUCUGCAGUUACCAAACUGGGGAUCCAAGCAUACAGGAUGCUCUAAAUUGUUCUCUCUAUGUGGAUACUGAUAACUUCAAUAAUUCUCCAUAAUGCAACUUAAUGGACUCAUUCUAAAACACCUGCCUCCAGAGCAGUACAUCAAAGAGACUCAGACCCCACUGGAACUCUGAUUCCAUUAUGGACAGGUCAUCAAAGCAGGAAGUGGUGAAGAUCUUACAGAGGAAAUUGUUUUUGAGGGGGAGCACCAAAAGGAGAGAAAGGGUCUGCAAUUUGUGAAAUGGACUGAUACAUAUAUUUAGCCUAGAAAACAGAAAUAGCUACUCCAGAUUUGGAAAAAUUCAGCAGUAGGAAAGUAGGGUAAGGUCCAGUUCCGCAGGACAUUAGCAUGUUACGCCAGGUGAGAGACAGGGUUUACAAAGCGCUAUAGAGAUAUUUUCGCCCAUGAGGGCAAGUUACUUUCUUUUGAUUUUUCUUGCUGUUGUUGUUCCUUGUUCAUCUUUCUGUUCCUUUUAGAGAUCUGCUAUGGCUCCGCCUUCCAAGAAGCAUAAAACUUGUCAGUCAUUCAUGGCUACAUGAGGUCAUGUUGCACACUACACUACUGUCUGAGUACUCCUUGAGCUACUUAAACUCAGGAAGAAAAACAAAGCAAAGUAGUUAUCCUUAACCUUACUAAGAGGAAGGAAUACAAGGGAUGAUGGGCAGUAAAAGGAGAAUACUGGACUGCACUGCAACUGCAGUGAUGAAGUGUAGGAGGCUCAGACCAUUCAGGGGAAGAGAAAGGAAGUCUAGCUUGUGAAGGAUAACAAAACUAUAAAGAGAUAAAAGCAUGGGCACCCACCCAUGUCUUCAUCCCUCUUCAAACCUCUUCAAGUCCUCCCUAAGGAGCUGCUAAAAACAACCUGAAAAAAUAGGAAUGUAGGCUCUUGAGAGCCCCCAGGAUAUAGAACACACACAGCUUUUGAAAGCACAACCCAGAAUGAAUGCCCCAAUUUGGUUCAGGGUGGUAGUCCUCCAGAGAGGAAAGAUUAUGCAGCGAUCAGAGGAUUAUCUACACCCAGAUCACCCAUGUAAAUUCUUUCUGGAUUGGACUCUCAUUCACUGAAGCCCUCAAGUAAAUUAGUCUGCUUCCUUUCUCUGCAUCUUCUAUAUAUUUGUAUCAUUCUCUAUUUCUUUCCAUUAUUUCUGUGAUGCAACAAUGUUAGUCAAAAGAGAAGCUGAGAAAUGGAAGUAAGAAUGAAAAGACAUUACAUUUUCUUAUACGGGGACUGGAAUCUUCUGUGGGUUGUAGGCAGAGCCACUGCCAGCAUGACACGUCAUCAAAAGGAGAAUGGAGAGAUAGCAGCUAUGUGAGAGAACAAAACUGCAUCCAUUUCUGGCGC